AGCCUGAACCUUGGAGAGCACCUCCCUUUCAUAUGACUUCUGCAAAGGGCAUGUUUCAGCUCACAGGGACAAAGAGUCACUGCACCAGAGAACCAGAAAGAGAUGUUUCAGGAAACUGCCACAACCUUGUAGAGCACAGUUUGAAAGCUACUGCUGAAGAAAUAUGCCAUCUUGAAGGCUUUUUAAACACGGGAUUUGCAAGAUAGGGUUCGCAUUUUAGAAACAUUAUUCUGCUUGCUACACUACUGAGUUUGGAUGAGGGAGACUUGAAGGCAAGGAGCUCUGUUAUGAAAUAACUACGCUUUUCUUACAGAAGAAGACUAUAAUAGACUGUAUCAAAAAUGUCUACGUUCCAUAGCAUUGGUGGAACCAUGCAUUACGUCUGAGGACAAGGACGGGAACCUUCUGUGGCGUGCUGUCAACAGCUUUAAAUAGGCAUUGAGUUUGAAGAUAGAGCACAUGAAGGGCAUGUUACAGCAGAGCUGAAGGGAGAACAGUUGAUGGGGCUUGGUGAUCAACUGAUUUGGAGAGUAAAGCAAUGAGAAGAAUGACAUUCAUGAUUUGGUAUGAAUUA
rnacentral:lncRNA from 1 species